rnacentral:lncRNA from 1 species
UGAAAGUCUAUGAGGAAGGACGACCUACUGCCCCCAGCAGGAUGAGGCUGAGAACUGACCACUGGUCUUAGCAACAUGACCACCACUACAGACCUGGACGAGAACAGUUUAACAGGAGUGGUAGGGGCAAAACGCUGACCAGAGACCUUUAAAGAUGAAGAGUGGGGAAAACUUGGAGGCGGCAAGGAGUUCCCAGUAAAUUGGAGGAGAAAAAUGGAGUCAAGAGAAAGGCAGACUGUCUGGUAUUCAGCGGGGGCUCAGUCAAUGUGAAAGAAAUGAAUUCUCCACACCCCACAGACGCGGACGCUGGGGCUCAGAGAGGUAGAGAGACUUGUCCACGGUGGAAAGGCAAACCCUGAGCCUCAUGACUUUGGCCUACACUUGACCUUGCCCAUGUGAAGAGAUGGAGGGCCACUAACUCCAGACUCUCCUGUUAGGCGGCUUCCUACAGAGACUACGGAAUUCUCAUACUCUUCUAAUGUAAGUGGCCCAAAGAGAGUGAAACCUAAUUAACAGAUAUAAUGAGGUAAAAUAUUCAUUUACUGAUAGUGAUGAAAUCCCGCUCAAGUCAACUAGUGAUGAAAUUUCUGACUGCUACCGUACUUCUCAAGAGCUGCUGAAAAGGCUAAUUUUCUGCUCCUACAUGACUUAAAUCCCUUGAGAUCCAUUCACACUUAAUGUAAUCUAGGAACAAAAAAUGAAUGUUGUUUUCUCCCUUCUGUACCUUGAAGCAUUUGCUCCUCAGCAGGGUUAUAUAACAGACACCUUUCAAGUGACUCUGUGUCAAUUAAGA